rnacentral:piRNA from 1 species
UUGGCCCUCGAAAGUACAGUUGGAAGGCUCC